rnacentral:rRNA from 1 species
UACGAAGGGGGCGAGCGUUGUUCGGAUUUACUGGGCGUAAAGGGCGCGCAGGCGGUUCUGUAAGACAGGUGUGAAAUCCCCGGGCUUAACCUGGGAACUGCAUUUGUGACUGCAUAGCUAGAGUCCGGUAGGGGAGCGUGGAAUUCCUGGUGUAGCGGUGAAAUGCGCAGAUAUCAGGAGGAACACCAGCGGCGAAGGCGGCUCACUGGCCCGAUACUGACGCUGGAGGCACG